AAUAAGCUAUUUUAAAUUACUGUAUAUUUGGUUUUAAGUGAAACACGAAUGUCUUUUACAUUCUUUUAAGAGUUGGAAGGCAGGUUAAAUUUUUUAGAAUAAUUUAAUAAUAUAUUCUAAUUUUUUCCAGUGCAUCUGGGGGAGGUGUUGUAGCCAUUGACAACAAAAUAGAACAAGCAAUGGAUCUGGUGAAAAGCCAUUUGAUGUAUGCAGUAAGAGAAGAAGUGGAAGUUUUAAAGGAACAAAUAAAAGAAUUAGUUGAAAGAAACUCUUUACUUGAACGAGAAAAUGCACUGUUAAAAUCUCUUUCAAGCAAUGAUCAAUUAUCCCAACUCCCAACCCAACAGGCCAAUCCUGGUAGCACUUCUCAACAGCAAGCAGUGAUAGCACAGCCUCCGCAGCCAACGCAACCUCCACAGCAGCCGAAUGUCUCCUCAGCAUAAAGCUUUCUUAAGCCUCAUUAAGAAAAAAACUGAAAGCAAUCUAUCCUUGUGUGCCACUGGUGUUCUUUCCACUUUAUACGAAAGCAAGUAGCCAUGCUUUGGUUGUGUGUUUGGCCUUUUCAGUAUUAGACAAUCAUUCUACAAGAGCUUUUCCUCUCUGAGAUGUCAUGCAGCGCUGUUGAUGUCCAGUUCUAUGUCAUCAGUACACAAGGAGAAUAAUAGCUGGGGUUUAUUAAAGCGAGCAAAGUCUGCAUUUUACCUGGUGCGCAUGAGUGGGGUCUUUAAGAGUUUUGGUGGCUCUCCCAUGUUUCCUAUUACCCGUGGAUUUACCCUGAGCCUUCCUAUCACAUUAUAAAUAACAGUUCAUCUAAAGAGCCACUUUUCUUUCUGAUUCAGUAACAUUUGCCUACAUAAGUUUUCAUUUAUUUGUGUUUUAUUUAUUACAGGGCUGCUAUUUUCAUAAUGUACAUGAACAAUGUCACAGAACUUU
rnacentral:sRNA from 1 species